GCGGGCGUAGUUCAGUGGUAGAACGUCAGCUUCCCAAGCUGAAUGUCGCCGGUUCGAUCCCGGUCUCCCGCUCCA
rnacentral:tRNA from 1 species